rnacentral:rRNA from 1 species
GAUGAACGCUGGCGGCGUUCCUAAUACAUGCAAGUCGAGCGAACAGAUUAGGAGCUUGCUCCUCUGACGUUAACGGCGGACGCGCGAGUAACCCGUCGAUAACCUACCUAUUAUACUGGGAUACCUUCGGGAAACCUUUGCUAGUACCGGAUAAUAUAUUUAACCCCAUGGUUUAAUAAUUAAAGUCGCUUUUGCUGUCACUUGUAGAUGUAUCCGCGCCGCUUUAGCUAGUUCGUAAAGUCACGGCUUACCAAGGCAACGAUGCGUAACCGACCUGAGAUGGUGAUCGGCCACAACAGAAGUGACACACCGUCCCGACUCCUACGCGAGCCAGCAGUAGGGAAUCUCCCGCAAUAGGCGGAAGACUGCCGGAGCAACCCCGCGUGAUCGAUGCAGGUCUUAGGAUCGUAAAACUCUGUUAUUAGGGAAGAACACAUGUGUAAGUAAAUAUGCCCGCCUCGACGGUCCCUAAUCAGAAAGCCACGGCUAACUACGUG